GGCUAGUCUGAGGGCAGUGGUGUUUAUAACUAAUUGAUCACAACUAGUUACAGAUUUCUUUGUGUCUUCUUCACUCCCACUGCCUCACUUGACUAGCCUUAA
rnacentral:Y_RNA from 1 species